rnacentral:rRNA from 1 species
AUUGAACGCUGGCGGCAGGCCUAACACAUGCAAGUCGAGCGAGCGGCGGACGGGUGAGUAAUGUCUGGGAAACUGCCUGCUGGAGGGGGAUAACUACUGGAAACGGUAGCUAAUACCGCAUACCAUCAGAUGUGCCCAGAUGGGAUUAGCUAGUCGGUGGGGUAACGGCUCACCUAGGCGACGAUCCCUAGCUGGUCUGAGAGGCUGACCAGCCACACUGGAACUGAGACACGGUCCAGACUCAUACGGGAGGCAGCAGUGGGGAAUAUUGGACAAGGGGCGAAAGCCUGAUGCAGCCAUGCCGCGUGUGUGAAGAAGGCCUUCGGGUUGUAAAGCACUGUCAGCGGGGAGGCGUGACCCGCAGAAGAAGCACCGGCUAACUCCGUGCCAGCAGCGGCGGUAAUUC